GGUGGCACAAUGGGUCAGUGUGUCUGGCUGUUAAGCAGAAAGCUAGUGGUUCAAGCCCACCCAGAGACG